GACCUAGUAGCACAUGGUGUGCAUCUGCUUCAUGUUUCAAGUGUUUUCCAGUGUUUCUGCAGGAGGUCCCCUGUUUGCCUCGGGGCUGGGUCA